UAUAGGAAAUGCAGAACCUGAUGAAGAGAAAUAUGCAUUCCGAGCAACAUUCGACUAUCUUCAUUUAAUAAAGGUUCGGGGGAGGUAAUUCACCGAUACGCCAAAAUAGAAACAGACACCGUAUGCUUACAAAUGUAUUUUUCCGACCAAAAAUGUCUGUAAGCAGUGGAGCAUGUGAAAGUUGUCACCGGCUCAGCAUUCAAAUAUCAUUUGAAUUAUCUCGAACAUUAAUCAGUAGUUCUAAAAGAUAGCAGAAACAUUAAGAUGUAUGGAUCACUUACAUUUUCCUAAUAUUUUGAAAAGAACAUUAAAGCCUGUCGUAGUAAGAGCAACGUUUAAAAUUAAGUAAAUUUCAAAAUAAAGGAAUAUUUUGUGCAGACAUUUUUUGCGUUAAUGUUGUUUAAGAUCAUAUAUAAUUUGAAAACUGCGUAUUGACAUUUUAAAAACAAAUUUUAAAUGGUUAAAUUUUAAAUAAGGGUAAAUGAGCAAAGGAUAUGAUUUUCUUCUCAUACUUAGCCAGGAGGAAGUAUUUGAGCGUUUGUGAAACAUACAUCAUGACUGUCAGCUUGAAAGAGGUCAUCGUAACAAAAGAGCUCUCGUCUGCUGCAAUGUUGCUGGGGUUGCAGACGGCAGAUAAAAUUUGCGUGCAAAAUGGGUGAAACUAAUGAAUUACCGAACUUACUACUUACGCAAAUUUCAGGAACGAGAUUCGUACCGGGACAGAAAGUGACACCACGUGCGGAUCUGCCAGAAAGUUAAAGGGGUAGACAACAAAAUUGUGCUACUGCAAGAUACAUGUAGUGAAAUAAUAAUUACGCGCGGAGUGAUACAUAGACAUGGAGGAGGAUUUAACUUAAACAACAAUCUUAAUGUUCAGCUGGAACAAAUAUCGUAAUCAGGUUUUACACGCAAAAAAGUAAAGACUUGAAUCGUGGUGUAAUUUUAUAAUGACCCCAUUGCAGUUUUCUAUAUCUGAACGUAUACAA